GCGUUAUCCGGAGUUACUGGGCGUAAAGCGCGUGUAGGUGGGUUGGUAAGUUACUUAUGAAAGCUCCUGGCUAAACUAGGAGAGGUUGAGUGAUACUGCCAGUCUUGAAUAGAGGAGAGGUUGACGGAAUUCCGCGUGUAGUGGUGAAAUUCGUAGAUAUUCGGAAGAACACCAGUGGCGAAGGCGGCAUCCUGGACCAAUAUUGACGCUGAGGAGCGAAAGCCAGGGGAGCAAACGGG
rnacentral:rRNA from 1 species